rnacentral:rRNA from 1 species
UACAGAGGUCUCAAGCGUUGUUCGGAUUCAUUGGGCGUAAAGAGCGUGUAGGCGGCCAAGUAAGUCUGCUGUGAAAACUCGAGGCUUAACCUCGAGCUGUCGGCGGAAACCCUCUGGCUAGAGUCCGGAAGAGGAGAAUGGAAUUCCCGGUGUAGCGGUGAAAUGCGCAGAUAUCGGGAAGAACACCCGUGGCGAAGGCGGUUCUCUGGGCCUUACCUGACGCUGAGGAGCGAAAGCGUGGGGAGCGAACAGG